rnacentral:lncRNA from 1 species
UAUAUAUAUAUAUAUAUAUAUAUAUAUAUAUAUAUAUAUAUUAAUUUAAGUUUGCCAAGGAAUUCAGCUAUGUAAUUCCUAAAUGAAAACUCAAGUCAGCAGUCAACCUUUUAUGGAGUUUAAUUACAAACAGGAUGAAGAAAGGUAUUAGAGAUAGAGAGAGAGAGGGAGAGAGAAAAGGGAGAGAAGGGAAUAGGGCUUAAAUACCCCUUCUGUUUAGGCUGGGCCAAAAGGCCCAAGCCCUUAGAUAGCUGGGGCAAAGAAAGGAGAUCAGUCCCUAUUACUCACAUGACCAAAAUGGAGAAACAGUCUCAGGGGCCUCCACCUCCAGCUUCCUUCAGAGCAAGCUUCUCAGAGCACCUCUCCAACCACUCAGAGCCAAAACUCUCCAACCAACCCCCCAGUCCUCAGACCCCUCUCUCUUUAAGGAACCCAUCCAAGUUCCCUCCCCUCAGUUCUCACAUCUACCAAUCACUGUCCAUGUCUUCCCUGUGCCAAUGGUGGCUCUAGCUUAACCCAGGACCUCCCAGAGGUCUGUGGCUUUGCACAUGUCUGUUGAAGGUCAUAUUCUCAAAUAAUUAAAUCUUGAUCUUUUGCUACAGCCCUUCCUAAAUCCUGUUACCCUGAGUAGGGUAGAGAUUGGAAUAAUUAAAUUUUGAUCUAUGCUGCAGCCCUUCCUAAAUCCUGUUAGGACUGAGUAGGGUGGAGAUUGUAAUUUCCAAGACCUGGUUCUGUCAUUCCAAGUAUCUCUAUUGUAUCAAUUCUAAAAUCAAUCAUGACUCAAAGAAAUUCCUGUUCUAUGCUUAAGCAUAGGUCAAAGCCCUUUCCAUUGUUCAGCAAAAGGUUUCUGUCCUAAAGUAAUCUUAAGAAGGGAGGAGGAGGAACCUCCCAUGCCAAUGGGGUUCACAUUCCAAUAGCCAAGACCCACUCUCAAUAGGAAAUUUUUCAAGUAUGAAAUUUCCCAAUGGUGAAAUUUCCAACAUUUAUAAGUCUAAGAAAUUUUAAGGUUUACAUAAUCAACUGCCCAGCAAAACUGAUGAUAUUCUUACAGGGGAAAGUAUGGUCAUUCAACAAAAUAGAAGAAAUCCAAGAAUUUGUAAAGAAAAGACCAGACCUGAACAUAAAAUUUGAUGUCCAAGCACAGAACUCAAGAGAAUCAGCAAAAGGCAUAAAUGAUCCAUUAUUCAGAGGGACAUAUGAGAAAGAAUGCUAUCCACAUCCAGAGGAAGAACUGUGGGAAAAGAAACACAGAAGAAAAACAACUGCUUGAUCACAGUGGAUUUUAAAGCAAAAGAUGAAGAAGAGAAAAUUUGACAUGAGAAGUGAAAAGUCAACUAAGAAGAAUGGUAUCAGAGAAUGGGAAAUAGAUUUCUGGCCCAUGACUCAAAGUGCAGUAAUAACAGAUUCCUAGCCUGGGAGGGAGGACAAUCAACAUAUUCUGGUAAGAUAGUAUUUGCCUGGUCUAAAGGAAAGGGCUUUAUAGUAAAAGAGACAGGGAAAAGAGGGGGGGAAAUGUACACAUGCUUACUACACAAGACAUAAUACCUAUACAGGCACAUAAUAUGCUCAUAUACAUGUAUGAACAUGUGUGUAUGGGCAGAUAUCCAUGUUUGUAUACAUAUACACAUAUGUGUAUGUAUAUACAUACGUAGCCACUAAGAAAGGUGCCAUAGUACAGUUGAGACACACAGAAAUUCUUAGGAAACAAAAUUUAAGUGUAAGAAAGUUGGUUUUUCCAUAGAACUCAUCUCAGAAAAGGAUCUGGAGAUUGAUAGUAGAUAGAUCAAUGGAUAGGUAGAUAGAUAGAUGAGAUACAAGAAUGGAUAGAUGCAUGACAGUUAGAUAAAAGGUCAGGUAGAUGGAGCAGUAGAGUGUGGGUCCUAGAGCCAGGGAAACCUGAGUUCAAAUUUGGUUUCAGAAACUUACUAGCAAUAUGAUCCUGGGCAAGUCACUUAACCCUAUUUACCUCAGUUUCCACAUAUAUAAAAUGAGCUGGAGAAAGAAGUGGCAAGCCAUUCAGUAUCUUUAUCAAGAAAACCCAAAAUGGAGUCAUGAAGAAUUGGACAUAACUGAAAAAUGGCUGAACAACAUUAGAUGGUAGUUAGACAGACAGAUAGAUAGAUAGAUAGAUAGAUAGAUAGAUAGAUAGAUAGAUAAAUAGAUAGAUAGAUAGAUAGAUAGAAAGACAGAUUGAUAGAUAGACAGACAGACAGACAGACAGACAGACAGACAGACAGACAGAUAGAUAGAUAGAUAGAUAGAUAGAUAGAUAGAUAGAUAGAUAGAUAGAUAGAUGGAUGGAUAAGUGGAUAGAAAGACAGAUAGAUGGAUAGAUAGACAGAUAGACAGAUAGAUAGAGAGAUAGAUAGAGAUAGGAAGGAAGAUAGGUAGAUAGAUAGAUAGAUAGAUAGAUAGACAGAUAGAUAUAGAGAAUUUAUCAAGUGAUUAAUUUGUGGCAGACACUGUAAGCACUGAGGAUACAAAUAUAAGAAAGUCUACCCUCAAAGAACUUACAUUCUAAUAGGGGAAAAUAACAUAUCAAUGGGGGAUGGACAGGGUGGGAGUUCACACAUGGCAGCAAGCUAAGUGAAAACCAGGAAGCAGUAUGGAGGGCCUGAGCCACCUUGUUUUUUCAAGCCAGAACUCCUUUUAUGAGAUGCAAAUUAGCCACUUGUGUGAAUCUGAAAGGAAGCAACUUGAUAGAACAAAAAAUGAUAGGGGAAAUGCAAAAUAGGUUGACUUGAAGAGGAAUUCACUUUGGGAAGCAUCUAUAGAAAAUACAUGGAGCUCAAGAAUGGGAAGCUCUAAACAAGCCAUAUAGAGGUGAGAGAGAAGAAGAGGCAGGGGCAACUGCUCCAAAAUGUGUAAUUAGAAUUUGCUUCCCAGGACUCUAAAUCCUAGCAUCCCACUUUUGUUCUCACAUUACAUCACAUUUUGGAGGUAAAGUUUUUGUGUGACCCAGCCUCUCUCUCUCUUUUCCUGCAAAGGAGGCUGGAAAGCUUUCUUUACUCAGGCUUUUACUUUUGUCCUUUUAGUUAUUUUACUUCAAGGGAUUAUUAAUAAAUCUUAUAAAAUACAUUACUUAGAGUUAUUG